rnacentral:rRNA from 1 species
CCUACGGGAGGCAGCAGUGGGGAAUAUUGCACAAUGGGGGAAACCCUGAUGCAGCGACGCCGCGUGAAGGAAGAAGUAUUUCGGUAUGUAAACUUCUAUCAGCAGGGAAGAAAAUGACGGUACCUGACUAAGAAGCCCCGUCUAACUAAGUGCCAGCAGCCGCGGUAAUACGUAGGGGGCAAGCGUUAUCCGGAUUUACUGGGUGUAAAGGGAGCGUAGGCGGCGAUGCAAGUCAGAAGUGAAAGCCCGGGGCUCAACUCCGGGACUGCUGUUGAAACUGUAUGGCUAGAUUGCAGGAGAGGCAAGUGGAAUUCCUAGUGUAGCGGUGAAAUGCGUAGAUAUUAGGAGGAACACCAGUGGCGAAGGCGGCUUACUGGACUGUAACUGACGUUGAGGCUCGAAAGCGUGGGGAGCAAACAGGAUUAGAUACCCUAGUAGUC